rnacentral:rRNA from 1 species
GUACGGGGGGAGCAAGCGUUGUUCGGAUUUACUGGGCGUAAAGAGCUCGUAGGCGGCUGCUCAAGUCGAAUGUGAAAACUCGAGGCUCAACCUCGAGCCUGCAUUCGAUACUGGGCGGCUAGAGUCUGGUAGGGGGAUCUGGAAUUCCUGGUGUAGCGGUGGAAUGCGCAGAUAUCAGGAGGAACACCGGUGGCGAAGGCGGGAUCCUGGGCCAGUACUGACGCUGAGGCGCGAAAGCUAGGGGAGCAACAGG